CCUAGUUGAUCCUGCCAAUAGUCAUAUGCUUAUCUCAAAGAUUAAGCCAUGCAUGUCUAAGUAUGAACUAAUUCAGACUGUGAAACUGUGGAUGGCUCAUUAAAUCAGUUAUAGUUUUUUUUAUGGUACCAUACUACUCGGAUAACCAUAGUAAUUCUAGAGCUAAUACGUGCACCAAGUCCUGACUCUUUGGAAGGGAUGCAUUUUUUAGAUAAAAGACCAGCGCGGGCUUGCCCGCUUCUCUGGUGAAUCAUGAUAACUCAACGGAUCACACAACCCUUGUGCUGGUGAUGCUUCAUUCAAAUUUUUGCCCUAUCAACUUUCAAUGGUAGGAUAGAGGCCUACCAUGGUGGUGACAAAUGAUGGACAAUUAGGGUUCGAUUCUGGAGAGGGAGCCUGAGAAACGGAUACCACAUCCAAGGAAGGUAGCAAGUGCGCAAAUUACCCAAUCCUGACAUGGGGAGGUAGUGACAAUAAAUAACAAUAUUGGGCUCAUCGAGCCUGGUAAUUGGAAUGAGUACAAUCUAAAUCCCUUAAUGAGGAUCCAUUAGAGGGCAAUUAUGGUGCUAGUAGCCAUGGUAAUUCCAGCUCCAAUAGUGUAUAUUUAAGUUGUUGCAGUUAAAAAUCUUGUAGUUGGAUCUUGGGUCGUAAAGGUCGGUCCACCUACUUGGUGUGCACCUGCCCUUCUGUCCCUUUUGUCAAUAGUGUGCUCCUGGCCUUAAUUGGCUGGGUCGCGGCUCCGACACUGUUACUUUGAAAAAAUUAGAGUGAUCAAAGCAAGCUUAUGCUCUGAAUACAUUAGCAUGGAAUAACGUGAUAGUAGUCUGGUCCUAUUGUGUUGGCCUUCAGGACCGGAGUAAUGAUUAAUAGGGACUGUUGGGGGCAUUCGUAUUUCAUUGUCAGAGGUGAAAUUCUUGGAUUGAUGAAAGACUAACCACUGCGAAAGCAUUUUCUAAGGAUGUUUUCAUUAAUCAAGAAUGAAAGUUGGCAGCUCGAAGACGAUUAGAUACCAUCCUAGUCUCAACCAUAAACAAUGCCAACCAGGGAUUUGUGGAUGUUUCUCGAAGGACUCCGCCAGCACCUUCUAAGAAAUCAGAGUGUUUGGGUUCUAGGGGAGUAUGGUCGCAAGGCUAAAACGUAAAGGAAUUGACAGAAGGGCACCACCAGGAGUGGAGCCUGCGGCUUAAGUUGACUCAACAUGAGGAAACUUACCAGGUCCAGACAUAGUAAGGAUUGACAGAUUGAGAGCUCUUUCUUGAUUCUAUAGGCAGUGGUGCAUGGUUGUUCUUAGUUGGUGGAGCGAUUUGUCUGGUUAAUUCCAAUAACAAUGAGACCUCAGCCUGCUAACUAGCUACGCAGAGGUUCCCCUUCGCGGCCAACUUCUUAGAGGGACUAUGGCCAUUUAGGCCAUGGAAGUUUGAGGCAAUAACAGGUAUGUGAUGCCCUUAGAUGUUCUAGGCUGCAUGCGCGCUACACUGAUGCAGCCAACGAGUUUUUCUUCCUGGUUCAAGAGGAUUGGGAAAUCUUCUCAAAUUGCAUCGUGAUGGGGAUAGACAAUUACAAUUAUUGGUCUUCAACAAGGAAUUCCUAGUAAGCGCGUGUCAUCAACUCAUGUUGACUAUGUCCCUGCCCUUUGUACAAACCACCCGUCGCUCCUAUCGAUUGAAUGAUCUGGUGAAGUGUUCGGAUUGUGUUGACGAUGGUGGCUCGCCGCCGUCAAAAUCAUGAGAAAUUCAUUGAACCUUAUCAUUUAGAGGAAGGAGAAGUCUUAACAAGGUUACCGUAGGUGAACCUGCAGUAG
rnacentral:rRNA from 1 species